rnacentral:rRNA from 1 species
GUGCCAGCCGCCGCGGUAAUACGUAGGUGGCAAGCGUUGUCCGGAUUUAUUGGGCGUAAAGGGAACGCAGGCGGUCUUUUAAGUCUGAUGUGAAAGCCUUCGGCUUAACCGAAGUCGGGCAUUGGAAACUGGGAGACUUGAGUGCAGAAGAGGAGAGUGGAACUCCAUGUGUAGCGGUGAAAUGCGUAGAUAUAUGGAAGAACACCAGUGGCGAAAGCGGCUCUCUGGUCUGUAACUGACGCUGAGGUUCGAAAGCGUGGGUAGCAAACAGGAUUAGAUACCCUGGUAGUCCACGCCGUAAACGAUGAAUGCUAAGUGUUGGAGGGUUUCCGCCCUUCAGUGCCGCAGCUAACGCAUUAAGCAUUCCGCCUGGGGAGUACGAUCGCAAGAUUGAAACUCAAAGGAAUUGACGGGGCCGCACAAGCGUGGAGCAUGUGGUUAAUUCGAAGCAACGCGAAGAACCUUACCAGGUCUUGACAUCUUUGCUAACCUGAGAGAUCAGGUGUUCCUUCGGGACAAAUGACAGG